CAACAACAACGAUAGUAAUAAUCCAAUUGAACAUUUUCCUAUGAGUAAUUCAAAUGCAUGUGAAAGUAAUACACCAUCUACAUCAACAUCAAGAUUACAAGACCUUCCAUCUAAACGAACUCGAAAUGAGUUAACAAAUAUUCCCAAUAAUAUUGGAAGAAUCGCGGAUUCAAUAAAUUUAUCCUAUGGAAAUUUGUCAACUGGAGUUGGUGGUGGUGUAUCGUUAACGUUAGGGCUUCAUCAG
rnacentral:misc_RNA from 1 species